rnacentral:lncRNA from 1 species
GGGUGACAAAAGUGAGACUCUAUCUCAAAAAAAAAAAAAAAGAAGAAAAGAAAAAUGUAUAUUUGGGGGUAGGAGAAAUAGGAUAUUGGAAGACAGCCCUACAUAUGGGGUUUAGGAAAGAGAAGGAGGACAUUAAGAGAAUAUUGGUUAUUCUUUGGUGGGGUCAGGUAUACUCUGAUCAACAGAGAUGAAAUUUGUGGUUUUUUCCCCUGUUUUCUAGAGCGAGAUGUCAGCAAAUUGCCUUCCUUCUUCUUGCUGCAAAGAAUGCUGGUACCACCAGCCCUGACAUGUGCAUGCAAAGAGAGCAGCAGAUGAGACAGAGACUCCAGCAUCAAUUCCUCUUGAGCACAGAAGUCCAAUUGUCCCAUUUUGCACAGUUUGCGUCCCCGGCAUCUUUGGACAAUUCAAGGAGAAGAGAUUCCUCCAGAGG